AUCUUCAAUUGCCUCCUUAUAAUAACCAAUCAUCUCUCUCGCUGUGCCUCUGCGUAAAUAGGCCUUUACAUUCUUCUUAUCAAGGUUGAUAGCUUCAGUACAAUCAUCCUCAGCUUGAACAAAACUCCCUAAUUCAAGAUAUGCUGCAGCUCUGUUACUAUAAUAUGUUGCAUUCUUGCCAUUGAGUUUGAUUGCUUCGGUAUAAUAGCCAAUAGCCUUCUGCCACUGCUUAUCUUUGAAUGCUUGGUUGCCCUUUUCUUUAGCCAUCUCAGCAGUUCUUUCCUUACUGUCAGAAUUAGGAGAUAAUUUGGACUUGGCAAGCAUAUCAACCUGCUCUUGAAGAGAUGCAUAAAUGAUCUGUACAGUAUCCAGCAGAAAGCGAUCACCCCCAUGCCUGGCUAUGAAGGAUACUGAAACUGGACGCUUAUCAUAAUGUCCCAGUGGAAUGGUCACCUGACAACAACCUGAUAGGCUUGCAAUACUCAACAGACUAAAUGAACCAAUCUGGUAAUCCUCUGAUAGUCGCACCAAGUUUUGGAGGAAGAUAAGCAGUUGUAGGGAUAACCAGAAUUCCAUCGUCCUUUAGAAGUGAGUCAAUGGCUGCACGUAAUUCAUUUCUGAUGGAUUUAAAAAUUCCAAUAUCUGUAUCUGUUAUCUCUAGGAUUUCAUUUAUUUGCGCAGAGAUAUCCAGAUUAGGCUUCUCCACAUUAAUCCAUUCCUCGUGAUUAUAUCUGAAUUCAUAUCUAUGCAGAAGCUGCAAAAUAUUGGCUAGCGAUCUUAUUGAAGAAGUACUAAGUUCACUAUUUGUUUUUUUGUCAUGGAACUGUUUUAAGCUUGGAACUUUAGAAGAGAGAAUAUCUUCAAGAUUUUCAUGCCUCAAUACUUGUCUUCCAAAAAGCUUCUCAGUGGAUUUAAUCACCACCUGCGCAACCCUGUCAACAGGAAUCUUUAGUAGUUGAAAACAAUCAUCAACUAUUAUAAUUUGCCUCGGAUUUCGUUGAACUCCAAAAGGCAGUUGCAAGAGCACAUGUCCAACACGACGCAUAACAUUUGGAUCCUUGGCAAACCAUCCAACAGUGUCAAGACUUGUCGAGACAGGUAAAAUCCCAAAGUGAGGGAUGGCUCCAUAUGACGGUCGGUAUCCUAUAAUGCCACAAAAUCCAGCAGGUAUUCUAACACCACCAACAGUAUCAACACCUAAAGAGAAAUCAACAAGUUUAGCAGCUACAGCAACAGCAGCUCCACUAGAAGAUCCACCUGGUACAUAUGCAGGUGCUGCUGGAUUGGUCGGUGUACCAUAAUGCUUAUUUUCUCCAUUUAUACUAUAAGCCAGUUCAUCCACAAUUGUUUUCGCAAUGCAAGUGGCACCUCCUUCAACAAGAGCUGAAACAACAGGAGACGUCCAAGAAGCUGCCUCAUGUGUCCUCACCCAAUCUGGAUGACCAAAUCCAGUCACAUAUCCUUCAAUGUCAAAUACGUCAGAAACAGCGAAGGUAAGGCCAGUGAGAGGAUGAGGAGCUUUCGGAGGAGCAGGCUGCGGCGGAGGAAGGAGCUGAAGCUUCUCGACAAAAGCGCCAAAAUCUUCCCUUAUCGCUUUCUUCAACUUUUUAGUCAUUAAGAGAAUCCCAGCUAGACCAAGCCCCAGUAGCACCCACAGAUUAGCGGGAUUAGAGGCCAUGUUUCCCCAAUCCCCUCACUACCAGAGGCAAUUCUUCUUCUCUGUAAAAACCCAAGAAUCUAAGUUCUAUAAAGAAACUGAGAUAGAUAGAUAGAUAGAUGAAGAGG
rnacentral:misc_RNA from 1 species